rnacentral:ribozyme from 1 species
CGGCCGCGGCAACCAAGUCCAGCAGGAGGACGAGGAGACUGACGACGACGACGAGGAGGAGGCAGAGACCUUUCUGUCCUCGGAUCAGUCCGACGGUGAGCAGAGUUCUCCCACCUGUGAGAACG